CGCGUAGGCGGAUUGUCAAGUCAGAGGUGAAAGCCCUGGGCUCAACCUGGGAACUGCCUUUGAAACUAACGGUCUAGAGUCCGAGAGAGGAUGGCGGAAUUCCCAGUGUAGAGGUGAAAUUCGUAGAUAUUGGGAAGAACACCAGUGGCGAAGGCGGCCAUCUGGCUCGGUACUGACGCUGAGGCGCGAAAGCGUGGGAAGCAAACA
rnacentral:rRNA from 1 species